rnacentral:rRNA from 1 species
CUAACGCAUUAAGUGUACCGCCUGGGGAGUACGGUCGCAAGAUUAAAACUCAAAGGAAUAGACGGGGACCCGCACAAGCGGUGGAGCAUGUGGUUUAAUUCGAAGAUACGCGAAGAACCUUACCUGGGCUUGAUAUCCUAAGAACCUUUUAGAGAUAAGAGGGUGCUAGCUUGCUAGAACUUAGAGACAGGUGCUGCACGGCUGUCGUCAGCUCGUGUCGUGAGAUGUUGGGUUAAGUCCCGCAACGAGCGCAACCCACGUAUUUAGUUGCUAACGGUUCGGCCGAGCACUCUAAAUAGACUGCCUUCGUAAGGAGGAGGAAGGUGUGGACGACGUCAAGUCAUCAUGGCCCUUAUGCCCAGGGCGACACACGUGCUACAAUGGCAUAUACAAUGAGACGCAAUACCGCGAGGUGGAGCAAAUCUAUAAAAUAUGUCCCAGUUCGGAUUGUUCUCUGCAACUCGAGAGCAUGAAGCCGGAAUCGCUAGUAAUCGUAGAUCAGCCAUGCUACGGUGAAUACGUUCCCGGGUCUUGUACUCACCGCCCGUCACACCAUGGGAGUUGAUUUCACUCGAAGCCGGAAUACUAAACUAGUUACCGUCCACAGUGGAAUCAGCGACUGGGGUGAAGUCGUAACAAGGUAACCGUAGGAGAACCUGCGGUUGGAUCACCUCCUUU